AAGGUUUCUGCCUAUUGAAAGGAGGUUUUUUCUUGCCACUGUCGCCAAAUGCUUGCUGAUGAAGCGCAGACAGUUUUUUAACUGUUAAUGAUCUAGAGAAGAUUUCUGCAGAGCCUGAUCCUAGUGAAAGAGAGAGAGAUUCCACCUGGAUGUCUGAUGUUGUGACAGCUCGGACAGAAGUGUGUGAUGGAGGUGGUGCUGCUGACUAUCCUGUCUUGAGUGUCUGUGUGGGCAGAGGUGAAGAUCAUAUUUGACAGACACACUGUCUACUGGAACAGCUCCAACCCCAAAAAGAAGGAGAUGGGAGAGGCAAUGAGAGAAAGACAG